UGAGGUCGCUGGUUGCCGUUGACUGCAUCACUUCAUCACCCACCGAGUGGCCUUCUUAGCAGACACGCCCAUGUGCGUCGCCUGACCCAUGAACCUGAAGUGUGUGAGGCUGCAGCUUCACUGAGAUCGGAGGAGCAACGGCACGAAGUAAGAGAAGAGGGCAGACUUUUCAAAGCUCCAAUAACGACUGCGAUGGUGGCACGCGAACGACGAGAAAGCCAUGGUGAUGGGCGCCUAGGCUUUGCAAUUCUCUCCACCCUCUCUGCUGCCGCCGUUGAUUCACCCCUCCCCUGUUGCUAAACUCUGGCUCAUCCAGAUCGUGGCCAACAGCUCCCCCGCCAGAGAAAGAGAACUCGGGGUGAUCGAUGCUGCACGAGGCAGAGGCGGAGCCGGCCGGGGCAUGGGCAGAAGCGGAGCCGGACGGAGGGUGCCGAUGACCGAGCGGGGGGCACUGCGGGCGGCCCGUGGGCGCGCAGCCGCUGCAAGGGCAUGUGCAGGGGCACGGUCGGGAGCAGCGGAGCCUGCGUGGUGCAAGAGGAGGCGACCCAGCGUAGUGCGGGCUGGACGAAGCGGAGCCGGUGCAGGCGCGUGCGCAGGCCAGCGAACUUGGCGCGCUCGGACUUGGGCGCGUCCGUGGAGAGGUGGAGCGGAGCAGAUGGGGAGGAGACGCUGGAGGAGAAAGGGGGAAAAGGCGAGGCCAGUAGGGCAGCGGCGCGAGGGGGCAGGAAGGGUUGGGGAGGGGGCGCGAGUGCGGGUCAUCGGCCACGGCAAGCGGGACGGGCGGGGUGAGCGGCUGGGAAGGGGCGAGCGGGACGGGCG
rnacentral:rRNA from 1 species